UACGUAGGGUGCGAGCGUUAAUCGGAAUUACUGGGCGUAAAGCGUGCGCAGGCGGUUUUGUAAGCUAGAUGUGAAAUCCCCGGGCUUAACUUGGGAAUGGCAUUUGGGACUGCAAGGCUGGAGUUCGGCAGAGGAGACUGGAAUUCCUGGUGUAGCAGUGAAAUGCGUAGAUAUCAGGAGGAAUACCGAUGGCGAAGGCAGGUCUCUGGGCUAUAACUGACGCUCAUGCACGAAAGCGUGGGGAGCAAACAGG
rnacentral:rRNA from 1 species